AGCGAACGCUGGCGGCAGGCUUAACACAUGCAAGUCGAACGGAAGCACAGUAAGAGCUUGCUCUUACGGGUGGCGAGUGGCGGAAGGGUGAGGAAUACAUCGGAAUCUACUUUUUCGUGGGGGUUAACGUAGGGAAACUUACGCCAAUAUCGCAUACGCUCUACGGGUGAAAGCAGGGGAUCUUUGGACCUUGCGCGAUUGAACGAGCCGAUGUCGGAUUAGCUAGUUGGCGGGGUAAAGGCCAACCAAGGCGACGAUACGUAGCUGGACUGAGAGGAUGGUCGGCCACACUAGAACUUGGACACGGUCCAGACUCCUACGGGAGGCAGCAGUGUGGAAUAUUGGGCAAUGGGCGCAAGCCUGAUCCAGCCAUACCGCGUGGGUGAAGAAGGCCUUCGGGUUGUAAAGCCCUUUUGUUGGGAGAGAAAAGCAGCAGGUUAAUACCCCGCUGUUCUGACGGUACCCAAAGAAUAAGCACCGGCUAACUUCGUG
rnacentral:rRNA from 1 species